rnacentral:antisense_RNA from 1 species
CUGCUCACAGCGCUCAGCCGUUAAUGUUAGACAAACCAGACCACGACCAUAGGUUGCCAUAAAGUUAAUCGCUUCCGGGGUGACUAAAUCGGCAGCCAUAAUUA